rnacentral:rRNA from 1 species
UACGUAGGGUGCGAGCGUUGUCCGGAAUUAUUGGGCGUAAAGAGCUCGUAGGCGGUUUGUCACGUCGGAUGUGAAAUCCCGGGGCUUAACUCCGGGCCUGCAUUCGAUACGGGCUGACUAGAGUUCGGCAGGGGAGACUGGAAUUCCUGGUGUAGCGGUGAAAUGCGCAGAUAUCAGGAGGAACACCGGUGGCGAAGGCGGGUCUCUGGGCCGAUACUGACGCUGAGGAACGAAAGCUAGGGGAGCAAACAGG